rnacentral:rRNA from 1 species
GACGAGGGGUCCAAGCGUUGUUCGGAAUCAUUGGGCGUAAAGCGGGUGUAGGCGGCUCUAUAAGUCAGGAGUGAAAUCCCCGAGCUUAACUUGGGAAGUGCUUUUGAUACUGCAGAGCUUGAAUGUGGGAGAGGAUAGUGGAAUUCCAGGUGUAGUGGUGAAAUACGUAGAUAUCUGGAGGAACACCGGUGGCGAAGGCGGCUAUCUGGCCCAACAUUGACGCUGAGACCCGAAAGCGUGGGGAUCAAACAGG